GACGUAGGGUGCAAGCGUUGUCCGGAAUCAUUGGGCGUAAAGCGCGCGUAGGCGGCCCGAUAAGUCCGCUGUAAAAGUCAACGGCUCAACUGUUGAAAGCCGGUGGAUACUGUCGGGCUAGAGUACGGAAGAGGCAAGUGGAAUUCCUGGUGUAGCGGUGGAAUGCGUAGAGAUCAGGAAGAACACCAGUGGCGAAGGCGCUCUGCUAGGCCGUAACUGACACUGAGGGACGAAAGCUAGGGGAGCGAAUGGG
rnacentral:rRNA from 1 species